CCCUUAGACGUUCUGGGCCGCACGCGCGCUACACUGACCAGUGCAACAAGCAUCCGUCCUUGGCCGACAGGCCCGGGCAAUCUUUGAACGCUGGUCGUGAUGGGGAUAGACUUUUGCAAUUUUUGGUCUUCAACGAGGAAUUCCUAGUAAACGCAAGUCAUCAACUUGCAUUGAUUACGUCCCUGCCCUUUGUACACACCGCCCGUCGCACCUACCGAUUGAAUGGUUCGGUGAAGCCUCCGGAUUGGCGCGCACCUCGGUGCCGCCGAGAAGUUGGCUAAACCUUACCAUUUAGAGGAAGGUGAAGUCGUAACA
rnacentral:rRNA from 1 species